rnacentral:rRNA from 1 species
GAUGAACGCUAGCGGCAGGCCUCAUACAUGCAAGUCGAGGGGCAGCGGGACACUUCGGUGUUGCCGGCGACCGGCGGACGGGUGCGUAAUGCGCAUGCAAUCUACUUUACACUGGGGAAUAGCCUCCGGAAACGGGAAUUAAUACCCCAUAUAAUCUUAUUAGCGCAUGUUAAAAGAUGAAAAGCUCCGGCGGUGUAAAAUGAGCGUGCGUCCUAUUAGCUAGUUGGUGAGGUAAUGGCUCACCAAGGCUACGAUGGGUAGGGGUUCUUAGUGGAAGGUCCCCCACACUGGCACUGAGAUACGGGCCAGACUCCUACGGGAGGCAGCAGUAGGGAAUAUUGGUCAAUGGGCGCAAGCCUGAACCAGCCAUGCCGCGUGCAGGAUGAAGGCUCUCUGAGUUGUAAACUGCUUUUGUACAGGAGCAAAAAAAUCCCUGCGGGGGUUCUUGAGAGUACUGUAAGAAUAAGCACCGGCUAAUUCCGUGCCAGCAGCCGCGGUAAUACGGGAGGUGCAAGCGUUAUCCGGUUUUAUUGGGUUUAAAGGGUGCGUAGGCGGCUUAUUAAGUCAGUUGUGAAAUCCUAGUGCUUAACGCUAGAACUGCGAUUGAUACUAUUAGGCUUGAGUUAAGAAGAGGUAA